GGGGUUGUGACUCAGAGGUAGAGUGCUUGCCUAGCAUGCAUGAGGUACUGGGUUCGAUCCUCAGCACCA
rnacentral:tRNA from 1 species